AGUGAACGCUGGCGGUAGGCCUAACACAUGCAAGUCGAACGGCAGCACAGGAGAGCUUGCUCUCUGGGUGGCGAGUGGCGGACGGGUGAGGAAUACAUCGGAAUCUACCUUUUCGUGGGGGAUAACGUAGGGAAACUUACGCUAAUACCGCAUACGACCUACGGGUGAAAGUGGGGGACCGCAAGGCCUCACGCGAUUAGAUGAGCCGAUGUCCGAUUAGCUAGUUGGCGGGGUAAUGGCCCACCAAUGCGACGAUCGGUAGCUGGUCUGAGAGGAUGAUCAGCCACCAUGGAACUGAGACACGGUCCAGACUCCUACGGGAGGCAGCAGUGGGGAAUAUUGGACCAUGGGCGCAAGCCUGAUCCAGCCAUACCGCGUGGGUGAAGAAGGCCUUCGGGUUGUAAAGCCCUUUUGUUGGGAAAGAAAUCCUGUCGAUUAAUACUCGGUGGGGAUGACGGUACCCAAAGAAUAAGCACCGGCUAACUUCGUGCCAGCCGCCGCCGUAACAC
rnacentral:rRNA from 1 species